rnacentral:rRNA from 1 species
AUUGAACGCUGGCGGCAGGCCUAACACAUGCAAGUCGAGCGAGCGGCGGAGGGGUGAUUAAUGUAUGUGGACUGACCGAGAUAGGGGGAUAACGAACGGAGACGCUAGCUAAUAUCGCGCGCUAUCGGAUAACCCAUAUGGGAUUAGCUAGUGGGUGGGGUAAUGGCGCACCUCGGCGACGAUCCCUAGAUGGUCUGAGAGGAUGAUCAGCCACACUGUGACUGAGACACGGCCCAGACUCCUACGGAGGCAGCAGUGGGGAAUAUUGCACAAUGGGCGCAAGCCUGAUGCAGCCAUGCCGCGUGUAUGAAGAAGGCCCUAGGGUUGUAAAGUACGUUCAGUCGGGAGGCGUUACCGGCAGAAGAAGCACCGGCUAACUCCGUGCCAGCAGCCGCGGUAAUUC